UUUUGGCCUUCAAAGCAUUGUAAUGUACACUUCACUAAUGAAAUGAAAAAAAAAUUUUCCAUUACCUUGUCCACUCUUGUAUUAAGUGGUUGUUUACCGAACUUCUUUUAUCUUCCAUCUUGUUUGGCAUCAGUGUUGUUUGUAAUUCCUCAUCUAUUCUUGCUUUGAGUCGUUGUUUAUCGAAUUUCUUUUAUCUGUUGUCUUGUUCGA
rnacentral:lncRNA from 1 species